CUUGACGCAUUUCUUGCCAAGUUAAUUCAAAGUUAUUUGUUGCCAUUGCAGACUGUGAUUAUACUCCCUUUCCUCCCCCCAGCCUCUCAUCAUUCUGCGGCAUUAAUGUUUACGGCUUUUAUAACUGGCUACCUCGCAGAGCUCUAACUCAUCUUAACGUUUUCUCGGCUGGUUCCUUUGGAUAAUACAGCAGCAAGAUUCACCUAUUGCCCCUCUGUCUCAUACUGCCACUGUCCCCUCCUUGAUUUCCUCUGGAGUAGCCAGAGAGAUGAACACACUGUGAGAAUGUAGGUGGGGAGAAGCGCCUGCAAAUAGAAACGACCACGCGCGCACUUCUCUGAUGGGGACCUGGC